GGCGUACAAAAUUGAGAACUUAGAUAAUAUGAAAAUUUUUCUAAUAUAAAAUACUGAGAAUCUACGGAUGUACUAUCAGUAAGAAUACUUUAUAAAUAAAUAAAUUUUUUUUACAAUUUUGUGCCGCAUAGUUGAAAUACUCUGUAAUAUAUCGAACAACAUGUUUGCUUGACAUCCGAUUAAACAAUUGCAUCGUCAGCUAGUACCUGAUAAAAUGUUAUUCGACUAACACCCGAUUAAUGAAAAAGCAAAAUAAUUUGAUAAGCCAUAAGGUCCGGCUACCGCAAGUGUAUCAACUAUGGCCUAAGGACUGCAAGUU
rnacentral:lncRNA from 1 species